GCCUGGCUGGCUCAAUUGGUAGAGCAUGUGACUCUUAAUCUUGGGGUUGUGAGUUUGAGCCCCACAUUGGGUA
rnacentral:tRNA from 1 species